CCUACGGGUGGCAGCAGUGAGGAAUAUUGGUCAAUGGACGAGAGUCUGAACCAGCCAAGUAGCGUGAAGGAUGACUGCCCUAUGGGUUGUAAACUUCUUUUAUAAAGGAAUAAAACGAGGCACGUGUGCCUUUUUGCAUGUACUUUAUGAAUAAGGAUCGGCUAACUCCGUGCCAGCAGCCGCGGUAAUACGUAUGGAGCAAGCGUUAUCCGGAUUUACUGGGCGUAAGGGGAGCGUAGGCGGCCUGCCAAGCCUGAUGUGAAAUACCGGGGCUCAACCCCGGGGCUGCAUUGGAAACUGGCAGGCUGGAGUGCCGGAGAGGCAGGCGGAAUUCCUAGUGUAGCGGUGAAAUGCGUAGAUAUUAGGAGGAACACCAGUGGCGAAGGCGGCCUGCUGGACGGUGACUGACGCUGAGGCUCGAAAGCGUGGGGAGCAAACAGGAUUAGAUACCCGUGUAGUC
rnacentral:rRNA from 1 species